UCCGGCUUAGAACCGGCAGUUCCGCUAAAGUGCCCAGCCCAACCUGAUGGCAACUAGCAGUAAGGGUUGCGCUCGUUGCGGGACUUAACCCAACAUCUCACGACACGAGCUGACGACAGCCAUGCAGCACCUGUGCAAAUCCAGCCGAACUGAACCUUGAAUCUCUCCAAGGCGUAACUUGCAUGUCAAAAGCGGGUAAGGUUCUGCGCGUUGCUUCGAAUUAAACCACAUAAUCCACCGCUUGUGCGGGUCCCCGUCAAUUCCUUUGAGUUUUAAUCUUGCGACCGUACUCCCCAGGCGGAUUGUUUAUCGCGUUAGCUUCGACAUCGACUCUUAAAGAGCCAACACCUAACAAUCAUCGUUUACAGCGUGGACUAC
rnacentral:misc_RNA from 1 species